rnacentral:rRNA from 1 species
CCUGGCGGCACUAGCGCGGUGGUCCCACCUGACCCCAUGCCGAACUCAGAAGUGAAACGCCGUAGCGCCGAUGGUAGUGUGGGGUCUCCCCAUGUGAGAGUAGUG